rnacentral:misc_RNA from 1 species
AGCUCAUCCAAUUCUUCUGAUCCCUAUAGUCUUUUCCUUUCUUGAAAUCAUCAUCAUCUUCUUCAUCUCGUUCUUUCUUCAGAGGUAUGAACUCUUCCAAAACUGGUUGGGUUUUAGGAACUGCACAUUGCAUUGACUCCUCCUUCACAGCUAAAAUGGCAUCUUUCAAGAGAAUCAUACAGAGAGGAAGUUCCCGUUUGAAGGCAUCGAUCUUCCUCAUUUCAUCCUCCAAACUUU